ensembl:snRNA U6 U6 spliceosomal RNA
GUGCUCACUUCGGCAGCACGUAUACUACAAUUGGAACGAUGCAGCUAGGACAGCAGGGCCCCUGUGCAAGGACGACACGCAAGUUCGUGAAGCUUCCACAUCCGAAAUAGUU